UUGCUCUCAUUAAGAACAAGAAAAUAAAUAAAAUUACUAAUGAAGAAGUGCAAUAUUGAAACAGAAGCCAUGAGUCUUUUAAGCCCAGCUUGUAAAGACACACUGAGUUGUAACUCACAGGCACAACU